UGCUGCUCACAGUCUGCUGCUGCUCACAUUCUUCACAUUUAUUUAUUUAUUUAUUUAUUUAACGUUUCACCCACAUCGUGCUUUAGGGCAGCCGGGUCGGACUUGAUGUUUGAAAUACUGACCGACAGCUCAGAUUUAACUGUCUGUAGUUCCGUUUUGAUGGGUGUUAAACUUUCACUCAAAGCCGCCAGGAGCUGGGUCUUUAAAAUAACCGCCGUCUCGUUACAGAGUGAAAGUAGCAGUUCCUCCUUAAGGUCAGAGAUUGCAGCAUCUGAGGGCCUCUUCCAAAGAAGACGUAGUUGAUGAAGGCGUUCUGGAGCAGGACCAGAAAGACCACGACCAAGCAGCCUUGAGAUCUUAGGCAGCGUCUCCCUCAGGUCCCUCUCUAUCUCCCCAUAUAUCCACCAACCACUGGAACACAUCUCCAAAGUUCUGCCGGUCCAGCUCAGCUUCCCUUCAGAAGAAGUUCCACCAGAUGAAGGAGCCUUUUGAGAGGCAGCUGGCACGUGAUUGGACUGUACUUUGGUCUGUUCCAAUCCAGCUUCAGCUCCAGAGACGGCAGGCGGGACGAGUCAACGGAAGCCGGGUGGACGAAGGCAUGCAGCUGAGUACAAUCCAGAAAACAACAGAGGAGGAGUGCAGUGGCCCAGGGCCAGAACAAGCAGAGUAUGUCUCUUAGAAAACAUCAUAGUAUAGCCUUUGGUAUGAAAAAACGCCAUCAUAUACAUCAUAUAUUGUACAAAUAACAAGUCAAAGGAAAGAGACAUACAUUGUAGAAUUGUAGUAAUUGUGGGCUGACUGAUUUACUGAUUAUCACUAUUUUUUACUGAUUUACGGUAAUAAAUACAUUUUAAAAUGG